rnacentral:rRNA from 1 species
UUGAUGUGUAGGAUAGGUGGGAGGCUUUGAAGUGUGGACGCCAGUCUGCAUGGAGCCGACCUUGAAAUACCACCCUUUAAUGUUUGAUGUUCUAACGUGGACCCGUGAUCCGGGUUGCGGACAGUGUCUGGUGGGUAGUUUGACUGGGGCGGUCUCCUCCUAAAGAGUAACGGAGGAGCACGAAGGUUGGCUAAUCCUGGUCGGACAUCAGGAGGUUAGUGCAAUGGCAUAAGCCAGCUUGACUGCGAGCGUGACGGCGCGAGCAGGUGCGAAAGCAGGUCAUAGUGAUCCGGUGGUUCUGAAUGGAAGGGCCAUCGCUCAACGGAUAAAAGGUACUCCGGGGAUAACAGGCUGAUACCGCCCAAGAGUUCAUAUCGACGGCGGUGUUUGGCACCUCGAUGUCGGCUCAUCACAUCCUGGGGCUGAAGUAGGUCCCAAGGGUAUGGCUGUUCGCCAUUUAAAGUGGUACGCGAGCUGGGUUUAGAACGUCGUGAGACAGUUCGGUCCCUAUCUGCCGUGGGCGCUGGAGAACUGAGGGGGGCUGCUCCUAGUACGAGAGGACCGGAGUGGACGCAUCACUGGUGUUCGGGUUGUCAUGCCAAUGGCACUGCCCGGUAGCUAAAUGCGGAAGAGAUAAGUGCUGAAAGCAUCUAAGCACGAAACUUGCCCCGAGAUGAGUUCUCCCUGACCCUUUAAGGGUCCUGAAGGAACGUUGAAGACGACGACGUUGAUAGGCCGGGUGUGUAAGCGCAGCGAUGCGUUGAGCUAACCGGUACUAAUGAACCGUGAGGCUUAACCUUACAACGCCGAAG